rnacentral:RNase_P_RNA from 1 species
UCGGGCGGCUGGACGGCCGCUGGCCUGGCGAGCGAUCGUUGGGCUGGAGGAAAGUCCGGGCUCCACGGAAAUACGGUGCCGGCCAAUGGCCGGCGGGCGAGAGCCUAGGGAAAGUGCCACAGAGAACAGACCGCCAUGACCGCCUCGGCGCGCAUGGCAAGGGUGAAACGGUGGGGUAAGAGCCCACCGCGCUUCCAGCAAUGGCGGCGGCACGGCAAACCCCACCGGGAGCAAGGCCGAAUAGGGAGGGCAGCGCAAGCAGGGGCAUUUCCGCCCCGUCCUCCGGGUUGGCCGCGCGAGGCCCGCGGCAACGCGGGUCCCAGAGGAAUGGUCGUCCAUGGUCUUCGGGCCAAGACAGAACCCGGCUUACAGGCCGCCCGGCAUC